rnacentral:misc_RNA from 1 species
GAUGAAGAACGCAGCGAAAUGCGAUAACUAAUGUGAAUUGCAGAAUUCAGUGAAUCAUCGAGUCUUUGAACGCACAUUGCGCCCCCUGGUAUUCCGGGGGGCAUGCCUGUCCGAGCGUCAUUGCUGCCCUCAAGCACGGCUUGUGUGUUGGGCUCCGUCCCCCCGGGGACGGGCCCGAAAGGCAGCGGCGGCACCGAGUCCGGUCCUCGAGCGUAUGGGGCCUUGUCACCCGCUCUGUAGGCCCGGCCGGCGCCAGCCGACAACCCAUCAUCCUUUUCAGGUUGACCUCGGAUCAGGUAGGGAUACCCGCUGAACUUAAGCAUAUCAAUAAGCGGAGGA